rnacentral:rRNA from 1 species
UACGUAGGCAGCGAGCGUUGUUCGGAGUUACUGGGCGUAAAGGGUGCGUAGGCGGCUGUUUAAGUUUGGUGUGAAAUCUCCCGGCUCAACUGGGAGGGUGCGCCGAAUACUGAAUGACUAGAGUGCGGGAGAGGAGAGUGGAAUUCCUGGUGUAGCGGUGAAAUGCGUAGAUAUCAGGAGGAACACCGGUGGUGUAGACGGCUCUCUGGACCGUAACUGACGCUGAGGAGCGAAAGCGUGGGGAGCGAACAGG